GGGACAGACCCCAGAAGUCAACAGACCCCAGAACACCCCAGUGUUAUUAACCCCUUAAGGACCAAACUUCUGGAAUAAAAGGGAAUCAUGACAUGUCACACAUGUCAGGUGUCCUUAAGGGGUUAAAUGGUUUGACUACUCACAUUGUGGAGGUGCCAGGCACUUGUGGAACCAUAACCACUACAACACUAUACAUUAGUGGUUUUGGUGCUGGAGUGUUCUUUUAAACUAAUAAUUAGUGCAUUGAAUGAUUCAUAUUUUUGCUUAUAGUAACUGAAGAUGCACAUUAUUACCAGACAGAUAAGAUCUUUGCCUCUGUUAAUCACUAUUAUGGUGUAUGCAGCAGAAUACUAAGAUGGAAUGCUAUGAUAAAG